GACGAACGCUGGCGGCGUGCCUAACACAUGCAAGUCAACUUGAAGGAAGGAGCAAUCUGACCUGAUGGUGGCGCAAGGGUGCGUAACGCGUAAGUAACUUGCCCAAGGUAAGGAAUAACGUCGAGAAAUCGGCGCUAAUACCUCAUAAUGCAGCGGAUCCGCAUGGAUAUGUUGUUAAAAGGUUUACCGCCUUGGGAUAGGCUUGCGUCUGAUUAGCUAGUUGGUGUGGUAAUGGCACACCAAGGCUACGAUCAGUAACUGGUCUGAGAGGAUGAUCAGUCACACUGGAACUGAGACACGGUCCAGACUCCUACGGGAGGCAGCAGUGAGGAAUAUUGGGCAAUGCACGAAAGUGUGACCCAGCAACGCCGCG
rnacentral:rRNA from 1 species